AAGCACAGCCAGAGACAUGAGAAAUGAAAGUGUACACACUUAUUUGGAGUUUUUGACAACCAUUGAAAUUUCUGUAAGUGCCAAAGUUACAUUUUUGGCAACCCCAUCAAAGCCAGGUGUGCCCAGGGCGGUCAACUCAGGCCCUGGACUCUCAUUCUGGUUGGAUUUUAUGACAGCCGUGUUUGCCGUAAGAAUUCUAGAGCCAGACCUUGUUACUUCACAAUUGCCUCACGUUGCAGAACAAGCAAAUGUAGCCUGAGUCCUGUGGAUUCCAGGGCUGCUCAGAAGGAACCUCCAUCCCCGCGUGGAUGACCUCAGGAUCAGCACUGUCUGCCCCAGGCAGCCCGCAGCCUGGUGCCCCAGAGCCCUCAGUCAGAAUCCGAGAGCAGCGUGGCGGCGCCCCCGUGUCACCACAGGGCUGAGGACAGAGGACCCCGCUCCCCUGUCUCCCCAGCCAGGACCUCCCAGGCUCUCCCUCUGUUCCCAGCACCUGGACAGGGCUCUGCACACAAGGGAGUCUCCCGGUCUCACGUCAGGCUCUGAGUUCAUCCAGUCUCCCAAAAUCCAUGUUGAUAUGAACGUUUUCUCCCACAACUGAUUGACUGGACUUUUGUCUCAGGGCAGAGAGAGGCCUCCAGCCCAAAACAGCAGGAUCAGGUCUGGCGCUGACUCAACCCCAGCCCCUUCCUAAUGCACGACCCAGUCCCCCAGCCUCUAGGACCUCCUGUCCCCUCCCGUGUUCCUGCCACUACUCCUGCAGAUGGAGGCUGCUCAUGCCAGGAAUCAGUCUGUGAGCUCCAACCUUGGGGCCUGAGGAGAGCAGCCCCUGGGACCUCAGUCCAGGAAGGAGGGAGGCUCCAGAGAGCAGAAGGGAGAUGAAAUGGAUCAUAAGAGAAGAAGGAAUCACCCAACACUGAAACUGACCUUUAUGAUACUCAGGAAUGUCCUGAUGUCAGCAGAGAUGAAGGGAAACCAGAAAGUCAGGAGUCAGAGGAAAGGGUAGUUUAUCUUAAUUCAAUCAUACAUGUUUCCUGGGGGAAAAAAAAAAGGAAAAAUUCCUCUGGGAAAAGCAUCAAAAUCAUCAGGAAGUCUUCCACACAGAAAUGACUUCAUUAAUUUGAUUCCUGUUAUUCUUUCUUUUAAUUCAUAUAUUACUAUCCACAGAGAGUUCUAUUCUGUGGGGUUUUAUUUAAUUUUUGUUUGGUUGGUUUUUUGAAAGACAAUGAGACCUUGUCUCAAACAAACAAACCAGCCUUACAGGCUGCAGUGCAAUGGCGCCAUAAUUGCUUACUGCAGCCUUGACCUCCCUGUCUGAAGCAAUCCUCCAGCCUCGGCCUCCUGAGAAGCUGAAACUACAGGAACAUGCCACCAUGCCCAACUAAUUUUUUUAAAAUUUUUUUGUAGAGAUGAGGUAUCACUAUGUUGCUGAGGCUGUUCUCAAACUCUCAGGUUCAAACAAUUCACCCACCUUGGAUCUCCAAAAUGCUGGGAUUACCGGCUGAGCCACGCACCCAGCCUCUAUCCUGUGUUUUGAUUCAUCGUCAUCUCCUAAGCCCUUUCCCAGCACCGAUAGUCUACUAAACAUGCCGUGAUUAAAUUAUAUCUCUAUGCCUUGAUAUAAACAAAAAAUUAUAUAAGCAGUAUAGAUAAAUAGGAAAAAGUAAAAUUACUGCCAAAGUUAUUAUAAGGAUAUCCUAAAAAUAUUUGAAUAGGAAAAUCUUUCUUUUUUCUUUCUUUUUUUUUUUUGUCAGGGUCUCAUUCUGUCACUCAGGCUGAAUUAUAGUGGCCCGAUCAUGGCUCACUGCAGCCUCAACCUCCCAAGGCUCAGGUGAUCCUCUCGUCUCAGCCCCCUGAGUAGCUGGGACAACAGGCGUGUGAGACAACACCCAGCUCAUUUUUGUAUUUUUAGUAGAGGUGGGGUUUUGCCCUGUUAUCCAGGCUGGUCUCAAACUUCUAGGUUCAAAUGAUCCACCCACCUCAGCCCCCCAAAGUGCUGGGAAUACAGGCAUGUGCCACUGUGCCAGCCUCUUUCUUCUUCUUUUUUUUUUUUUUUUUUUAACAUCUGCUGGAAUGGAAAUAUUUCUUAAAUGAGACACAAAUGUAUCAAAUUGAAAAUGUUUAAACUUCCGAGGACAUAUAUAUAUAUAUAUAUAUAUACACAGUCAUUCUUUGCUUAAUGGUGAGAUAGCUUCUGAGAAAUGAGUCCUUAGGUGAUUUUGUCAUGUGUGGACAUCACAGAGUGUCCUCACACGAACCUAGAUGGUAUAACCUACUUCACACCUAGGCUACAUGAUAAGCCCAUUGCUCCUAGGCUGCAAAUUAUAUAGCAUGUUAUUGUAUGGAACACUGCAGCCAAUUCUAACACAAUGGUAAGUAUUUGUGGAUCUAAGCAUGUGUAAACAGAGAAAAGGUACAGUAAAAAUGUGGUUAAAAAAAGAUUUUUAAAAUGG